rnacentral:rRNA from 1 species
UACGUAGGUGGCAAGCGUUGUCCGGAUUUACUGGGCGUAAAGGAUGCGUAGGCGGCCAACUAAGUCAGACGUGAAAUCCCUCAGCUUAACUGGGGAACUGCGUCCGAUACUGGAUGGCUUGAGUUUGGGAGAGGGAUGCGGAAUUCCAGGUGUAGCGGUGAAAUGCGUAGAUAUCUGGAGGAACACCGGUGGCGAAGGCGGCAUCCUGGACCAACACUGACACUGAGGAGCGAAAGCCAGGGGAGCAA